GUUUCUGCUAAGUGGGAACAAACCGCUUGGGCCCAAAAGAGAGCAGCCAAGACUCACCGUGCUGAGAUG
rnacentral:SRP_RNA from 13 species